GCAUCGGCAGAGCAUAAUCCCAAUUCAGGUGUAAUGUUUUCCCUUUUGUCUUCUCAUAGGAGCUGACUAAGUUGGCUUGGCUGUACAUAGGAGGAAGACCCUGAUCCCUAGUGCUCAACACAAAAACGCUUCAAUAAUCCCCUGAGAUUGUUUUACCUUGCAACACUCUCUGGAAAAUUGUUGUUCCAGGAAUGUAAUGAAAAGAUCUGCAAGAGAGUACAGCCCCUGUUGACUGACUUGUCUUGCUUGAGGCAGAGCUUGCAUGGAACUUACAAACCCGGGACAACAAAGAUUAGG
rnacentral:lncRNA from 1 species